rnacentral:rRNA from 1 species
UUCCGGUUGAUCCUGCCGGAGGCCAUUGCUAUCGGAGUCCGAUUUAGCCAUGCUAGUCGAGCGAGGUUAGCCCUCGCGGCGAACAGCUCAGUAACACGUGGCCAAGCUACCCUGCAGAGGGGGACAGCGUCGGGAAACUGACGGGAAUCCCCCAUACCGGUCUCACGCUGGAAUGCCGAGACCGACAAACGCUCCGGCGCUGCAGGAUGCGGCUGCGGCCGAUUAGGUAGUCGGUGGGGUAACGGCCCACCGAGCCGAUAAUUGGUACGGGGUGUGAGAGCACGAGCCCGGAGACGGAAUCUGAGACAAGAUUCCGGGCCCUACGGGGCGCAGCAGGCGCGAAACCUUUACACUGCACGAACGUGCGAUAAGGGGACUCCGAGUGCGAGGGCAUACAGUCCUCGCUAUUGUGUACCGUAGGGUGGUACACGACCAAGAGCUGGGCAAGACCGGUGCCAGCCGCCGCGGUAAUACCGGCAGCUCGAGUGAUGGCCGAUUUUAUUGGGCCUAAAGCGUCCGUAGCUGGCCCUGCAAGUCCGUCGGGAAAUCCACUCGCCUAACGAGUGGGCGUCCGGCGGAAACUACAGGGCUUGGGACCGGAAGACUUGAGGGGUACGUCUGGGGUAGGAGUGAAAUCCUGUAAUCCUGGCCGGACCGCCGAUAGCGAAAGCA